rnacentral:rRNA from 1 species
UACGAAGGGGGCUAGCGUUGUUCGGAAUUACUGGGCGUAAAGCGCACGCAGGCGGCUCGAUAAAUUAGAAGUGAAAGCCCCGGGCUUAACCUGGGAAUUGCUUUUAAGACUGUCGGGCUAGAAUCCAGAAGAGGGUAGUGGAAUUCCGAGUGUAGAGGUGAAAUUCGUAGAUAUUCGGAAGAACACCAGUGGCGAAGGCGACUACCUGGCCCGUUUCUGACGCUCAGGCGCGACAGCGUGGGGAUCAAACAGG